CCUUUUACGACCCCCGCGGGAAGAAAGGGGGUGGUGCUAUUCUACUCGGCCGACACUACACGACAUAAUCAUAUUAAGAACAAGCAGAAUAUAUGUAGCAACCCCAUCGCCACCGAAGAACCUCAGGACCUUCUAAAUGGCAACGGCUCACAUAACUUUUGCAUAUUAUAAUUUUUAAUAAUAUUAAUAUAUCAUCAUAAGUAACGAUA